GGCAGGCGAGGGGCCGCACGCAUCCCCCACAGCCACCAAGAGGGCAUCCCUGCAGAGAAAUCAUAUCCGACAUGCCUGUGCCCACACCAGACUUAAGACUGCCUCUAAAAUGUCCAUGAAGCCAUUUUCCAGUAGAGCUGUUAGUUUUAACACCAGUUCAUAGGUGGCAGGGACUUGCCUUGUCUCAGAUGAGACUUUGGACUGUGGAUUUCUAAGUUAAUGCUGAAAUGAGUUAAGACUUUCGGGGACUGCUGGGAAGUCUCAGGUAUGUCUUUAUCAGCAGCAUGAAAACAGACUAAUAUAGCACCUCUGCUGACAGCUAUAGGACCAAGGACUGUAGACCCAAAUGCAGCAGUCACACAUAUUUUCCUGUCUUGAAGAUUUUCUUUAAUAAAGCUGCAAGUUUUGGGGAAAAGUAUGUGUGAUGACUGGGAACUGAUUCCCGAAGGCUAGCUGCAAACCAUGACUGGGAAAGAAGCAGGAUGUGCCCAGACUUUGCAGUGGCUGCUGUCCACUAGAACAUUCAGGUUCAGAAGGGUCUUAGGGGUCCCCGAGCCUGCUGAAAGAUGAAGCCCAGUCCUGGCUCCACUCAACUUACCACACCCAUGUUUCAUUGCUCCCCAAAGCACUCACAACUCUAGUAUUUUGCUUCUGUAUUUGCUUCUUAUUUGUCCCCUGUCACUAGGAUGAAAUAUUCCAGAGAACAAUGGUUUUCUCUGUCUUAUUCACUGUUGUAAAUAGUGCCUGGCACAUAGUAGGCACUGAAUAAAUAUUUGUUGAAUCAAUGCAUGAAUGA
rnacentral:lncRNA from 1 species